CACGUAGGGUGCGAGCGUUGUCCGGAAUUAUUGGGCGUAAAGAGCUCGUAGGCGGUGUGUCGCGUCGGCCGUGAAAACCUGCAGCUUAACUGUGGGCUUGCGGUCGAUACGGGCAUCACUGGAGUUCGGCAGGGGAGACUGGAAUUCCUGGUGUAGCGGUGAAAUGCGCAGAUAUCAGGAGGAACACCGGUGGCGAAGGCGGGUCUCUGGGAAAUAACUGACGCUGAGGAGCGAAAGCGUGGGUAGCGAACAGG
rnacentral:rRNA from 1 species